CUUUAUUUUCCACAGUUCUGGAGACUGAGAAGUCCAAGAUCAAGACACUGCAGAGUGCAUGUCUGGUGAGGGACCCUCCCUGGUUCACAGAUGGCAAUUUUCUCAUUGUGUACUUACAUGGUGGAUGGGGUGUGGGAACUCUCUGGGGUCCCUUUAAUAAGGGCACUAAUCCCAUUCACGAGGGCUCCACCUUCUUGACCUCAUUGCCUCUCAAAGGCUCCACUCCUAAUACCAUCAUGUUGGUGAUAUUCAAUAAGUGAAUUUUAGGGGGACACAGACAUUCAGACCAGGCAUCUUGGAUAUCUAGGUAGCUGAGGACUGGUUAGUACUGUGUACAAAUCAUCAAUAAGGGCAAAGGAGCUGGAGAGGACAAAAUCCAUAUCUCAUUCAGGAUCGGCACUUUUACCAAAGCACCAAGAGUUGAAGGGACCGAGACAGAGUGAGGAGAGGCCCGUCGGUGUUUACAGAGGCCCCUGUUCCCUCCCCCGGGGUCUAUAGAAAUGCAGCAAUACUGUGACCAGAGAAACAGCGCAAGCCGGGGCGGGGAAAUCACAAGCUGUGGAACUGCGCUGGCAGCUCCAGGUCGUGAGCCCAGACAGGGCCUCAGCUCCAGGUCGUGAGCCCAGACAGGGCCUCAGCUCCAGGUCGUGAGCCCAGACAGGGCCUCUCGUGAGCAUCGCCUCUAACUCCCAUGGCCACCCUCGCACCCAAUGGCCUGGCUGAAACGGGGCCCCAAGGAGCCUGGGGAAGUCAUGCUCUUUCCCUGCCUUGCAUUUCAGCACUGCUGGCGCUGGAGAACUUUUGCCCCCUCCACUCAGCCAGACAGGAAAAGCACCCCCGGCCUGGGGUCGUUGAUCCUAUAUUUUCCAGAAAACUAGCAAGCGAGAUUGCCUUUUCUCAAAUGCAGAUCACAGGGGGAUGUGGGGAGGGGAGGGGCAGGCACAAGGCUGGAGAACCACAAGGAGCCCCUGAAAGCACCGCCCAGGACGCUUCUCUGGAGAGAAGCCCGAGGAACGCAGAGCUGCUUUGAAUUAGCCCAGAACCGGGCGGGACGACCUCAGAAGGCAAAACAGGAGGCGCCCCGUGCACAUAUGGACCCAGGCACCGACUGUUUACCUGCCGAUUCUCUUCUAAACUCUUGGCAAUAAGGACAGAGCUCAGUUUGGUGCUGCCAUCUGAGUGCUGGCUGACUCUGGCUCGGCCGCCCUCCCUUGGCCGCGAAGGUCCCCACGAGCUCCGGGUUGCAGUUAUCCCUGCAAAGCUUGCCAGCUCUGGCCCAUAAAAGCCUCUCUGCAAAGCAGAGGAAUAGGCCCAUUUUGUUCUGAAAUACUAGUAUGGAUUUUUUAUCUUAAAGUGAGAAAAAAAAAAAAAAACUUUAGGAGCAGGGAAAUAAACUUUUAACCAUUUCAAUCAAUCAUAAAAUUACAGUUUAUUUUCCCCACCCUCUCCCAAGUAAAUUAAAUUCAAUGAAACAAUAGGUUCAAGUUACAACUAACAUUUAGGCAAAGCAGGUUUUUAGUGAAUUUGUCGAGUGAGCAGAUGACUCAUAGCAAUCACAGCUCAGUCAACAGCUUCGAAGCAGCUUGAGCACGCAGAGCGCAACGGUGUAAAGCAAAAUCUGUUGCCUUUGAACGGUUUUAAACGAAGCCGUGAGAAAACAAACACAUUUCGUGGAUUUUUUCUUUUUCUUUUUUAAGUCUGAGGCAUCUGCAAUGUGGAAUUCUUUGCAGUAAUUAAGAUUUGUGGAUGGGUGAAUUUUAGAAAUAUGAGUCCUUCAAGAUGUUUUGUUGGAAAUGUGGGAAAGGGGUCAUUGCUGAUAAUUGUGUGAUGAAACAGAAUUAUGAGCUCCUCUGGGCCAGGCUGCUCUUCUCUGAAGCUUUCUAAUGCCGUUGUAAACCUCUGGGAAAGCUUUCUGGAUUAUUCUCUCACCACAAGCACCCACAAGACAAACCGGACAAGCUGUUAAGCACAGACGGAAGUUGCAGAAAAGUUUAACACUGCCAGGGAGUGUGUCUCCAGAUGCACCAAGCUUGAGUGUGGCUGGCCCCACCUGGCUCAUGUGCCCCUUGGCAGGCUGCUUCCCAUCACGUUGUCCACAACACAUGCACCUGGGUUUGAUGUUAGACUCAAGAAAAGAUCUAUUUUCUUGCUUCCAACACCUCCCCUUGGUGACUCCCUUGGGCCCUCAUCCUCCUCUCCAUUGUUACAUCUCAAUGAGCAGAACCAGGACAUGAAGAGUUGUUCUCCAGUUGGCCGCCUUUUCCCUCUUCCUUGGGCUCCAUCCCACCCGGUCGUGAAGGUACUGUGGAAUCACGACUGCUGACAGCCUCCCUCUGGCCACGCCACCCAUCUCCUCCAUACUUGGACACACUUGCUUCAUCAUCUCUCUGGAGCCCAGUGAGGCUUCACUCACCACCUGCUUUGCCUCCAUCAACUUGAAGCCCUCCUGCCUCCUCACCUUGGAACUGCUCCCCACGGGGAGCCCAUCCUCGGAGCCUUGCUUCCAUGGGAAGGUGACUGUCUCUCCAAACGUCAGCCCAUUUCAAGACUGGAGAUGAUGUUGCAGACACAGAGCUGGUCUUGGGAGCACCCGUAAGAGACAUAUGCGCAGAGCUUCCCGAGGCACACCCACUUGGCACACCAGUGGUUUGUGCCUAUGCAGGGUUUAAAGAAAUGGAGUUUGGAGAAUUGGGCCAAAACCACAAAUGGAAUCAGCCCUUUCUGAUGAAAUCAUCUGAUUUUCUCAGAAAGCUGCUGGAGGUGAUGGAAACUUGGAAAGAUGUCGGUGGCUUUUGAGACAUGGGAUUUGACAAGGGAACUGCAUCCAACAGUUUGUCAGAGGAGUUCCGAGGUGGCUCCUCUGAGAACACCUAUUUUGUUCUUUCCCUUCUCCAUGAUAUGAGUCAUGUGGAAUGGAAGAUGCUA
rnacentral:lncRNA from 10 species